rnacentral:rRNA from 1 species
CUUGAACGUUGGCGGCAGCCCUAACACAUGCAACUCGAGCGGCGAGGCGACCGGGUGAGUAAUGCCUAGGAAUCUGCCUGGCAGUGGGGGAAAAAGUACGGAAACGGGAGCUAAUACCGCAUACUAUCAGAUGAGCCUAGGUCGGAUUAGCUAGUUGGUGGGGUAAAGGACUACCAGGGCGACGAUCCGUAACUGGUCUGAGAGGAUGAUCAGUCAAACUGGAACUGAGACACGGUCCAGACUCCUACGGGAGGCAGCAGUGGGGAAUAUUGGACAAUGGGCGAAAGCCUGCUCCAGCCAUGCCGCGUGUGUGAAGAAGGUCUUCGAAUUGUAAAGCACUUUCAGCUGGGAGGCCUUACCAGCAGCAUAAGCAUCGACUAACUUCGUGCCAGCAGCCGCGGUAAUUC